ensembl:snoRNA small nucleolar RNA U2-19
UGUGUCUUAUGAAAAUAGCCAAAUUUGAGCAUCAGAAGACCUUCCAGUCUACCGAAUGCAUGAUCUCUGGAGUUCUGAGA